rnacentral:lncRNA from 1 species
AGCCACUUAGUCCCUCAAGAUGCAAGGUUUGCUAAGUGUUUUGAGGUUGCAAACUGACUUCUGGGUUUUGAGAACUAUUUGACUUUCUGGCUUCACAACUGGUAAGACCUGGGGACGUAAGGAACUAACCGCGUCCUUAACUAAGAGGGCAAAGCUUAGCUGCAGUUAGCACACAAUUAAAGCAACUUACCAAGUUUUACCUUAAAGUUAAAAAUAGCUAGGAGUUAAUUGAAACUACUAGAAAUAGAUUUGCAUGCAAGGUGUGUAAGAACAGUAAAAUGUAUUUUUUAGUAAAAGGUUAUAAGAAGGCAUGGAAAUGUAAACUUUUGCCUAAAGUUUUUAAGGAUUAAAGGAUUAAAGGAUUUUUUGAGUUAAAUCAGGAAAAAGCUGAAGGUUCAAAGAAGGGGUAGAAGAAUUACGGAAAUCAAUCUUGCAGAAGAGGUUCUGUGUGUGAACGUAUUGACUAAAUUCAAAAAAGGGUA